CCUACGGGAGGCAGCAGUGGGGAAUAUUGGGCAAUGGAGGAAACUCUGACCCAGCAAUGCCGCGUGAAUGAAGAAGGUCUUCGGAUUGUAAAGUUCUUUUGUCAGGGAAGAAGUCAAUGACGGUACCUGAAGAAUAAGCCCCGGCUAACUACGUGCCAGCAGCCGCGGUAAUACGUAGGGAGCAAGCGUUGUUCGGAAUGACUGGGCGUAAAGGGUGCGUAGGCGGUUGUACAAGUUAGAAGUGAAAUACCCAGGGCUCAACUCUGGUGCUGCGUCUAAAACUGUAUGACUUGAGUGCAGUAGAGGCUGGUGGAAUUCCUAGUGUAGCGGUGGAAUGCGUAGAUAUUAGGAGGAACACCAGAGGCGAAGGCGGCUAACUGGACUGCAACUGACGCUGAGGCACGAAAGUGUGGGGAGCAAACAGGAUUAGAUACCCGAGUAGUC
rnacentral:rRNA from 1 species